UACGGAGGGUGCGAGCGUUGUUCGGAAUCACUGGGCGUAAAGCGCGUGUAGGCGGCCUUGUAAGUCUGGUGUGAAAGCCCGGGGCUCACCCCCGGAAAUGCGCUGGAAACUGCAAGGCUAGAGUACCGGAGAGGAAGGUGGAAUUCCUGGUGUAGCGGUGAAAUGCGUAGAUAUCAGGAGGAACACCGGUGGCGAAGGCGGCCUUCUGGACGGCUACUGACGCUGAGACGCGAAAGCGUGGGGAGCAAAC
rnacentral:rRNA from 1 species